UACAGAGGUCUCAAGCGUUGUUCGGAUUCAUUGGGCGUAAAGGGUGCGUAGGCGGCGCGGUAAGUCGGGUGUGAAAUCUCGGAGCUUAACUCCGAAACUGCAUUCGAUACUGCCGUGCUUGAGGACUGGAGAGGAGACUGGAAUUUACGGUGUAGCGGUGAAAUGCGUAGAUAUCAGGAGGAACACCAAUGGCGAAGGCAGCACUCUGGGACGUGACUGACGCUGAGACGCGAAAGCGUGGGGAGCAAACAGG
rnacentral:rRNA from 1 species